rnacentral:rRNA from 1 species
AAUGAACGCUGGCGGCAUGCCUAACACAUGCAAGUCGAGCGAACACACAGGGAGCUUUCGCCCCUACGGUUGGCGGGUGACGGACGAGUAACACGUGGAUAACCUACCUCUAAGACUUGGAUGAUAACGGGGAACCACUUCUACUACCACCGAAUAUAUCGAACGGGAUGGUUCAAUAGUUCUACACGGUUUGCGUGUCACUUAUAGCCGGAUCCGCGCCGCAUUAGCUAGUUGGUAAGGUAACGGCUUACCAACGCAACGAUGCGUAGCCGAUCUGAGAGGGUGAUCAGCCACACUGGAACUGAGACACGGUCCAGACUCCUACGGGAGGCAGCAGUAGGGAAUCUUCGGCAAUGGGCGAAAGCCUGAUGGAGCAACACCGCGUGAGUGAUGAAGGUCUUCGGAUCGUAAAGCUCUGUUGUUAGGAAAGAACAAAAGUGUGUGUAACUAUGCACGUUUUGACGGUACCUAAAGAAAAAGCCCCGGCUAACUACGUG